rnacentral:rRNA from 1 species
UGGAGCAUGUGGUUUAAUUCGAUGCAACGCGAAGAACCUUACCUGGGCUUGACAUCCCGAGAAUCUUCUGGAAACAGGAGAGUGCCCUUCGGGGAACUCGGUGACAGGUGCUGCAUGGCUGUCGUCAGCUCGUGUCGUGAGAUGUUGGGUUAAGUCCCGCAACGAGCGCAACCCUUGUCUUUAAUUGCCAUCAUUCAGUUGGGCACUUUAAAGAGACUGCCGGUGUCAAACCGGAGGAAGGUGGGAUGACGUCAAGUCCUCAUGGCCUUUAUGCCCAGGGCUACACACGUGCUACAAUGGGCGGUACAAAGAGCAGCUAACUCGCGAGGUGGAGCAAAUCGCAGAAAAUCAUCCGUAGUUCGGAUUGGAGUCUGAAACCCGACUCCAUGAAGGUGGAAUCGCUAGUAAUCGCGCAUCAGCAUGGCGCGGUGAAUACGUUCCCGGGCCUU